rnacentral:rRNA from 1 species
AUACGAAGGGGGCAAGCGUUACUCGGAAUUACUGGGCGUAAAGCGUGCGUAGGUGGUUGUUUAAGUCUGUCGUGAAAGCCCCGGGCUCAACCUGGGAAUGGCGUUGGAAACUGGGCGACUAGAGUGUGGCAGAGGGGAGUGGAAUUCCUCGUGUAGCAGUGAAAUGCGUAGAGAUCAGGAGGAACAUCCGUGGCGAAGGCGACUGCCUGGGCCAACACUGACACUGAGGCACGAAAGCGUGGGGAGCAAACAGGAUUAGAUACCCUGGUAGUCCACGCCCUAAACGAUGCGAACUGGAUGUUGGGUGUAAUUAGGCCCGUAGUAUCGAAGCUAACGCGUUAAGUUCGCCGCCUGGGGAGUACGGUCGCAAGACUGAAACUCAAAUGAAUUGACGGGG